UACGUAGGGGGCAAGCGUUGUCCGGAUUUAUUGGGCGUAAAGAGCGUGUAGGCGGUCUGGUAGGUCAGUUGUGAAAACUCGAGGCUCAACCUCGAGACGCCGAUGGAAACCAUCAGACUAGAGUCCGGAAGAGGAGAGUGGAAUUCCUGGUGUAGCGGUGAAAUGCGCAGAUAUCAGGAAGAACACCUGUGGCGAAAGCGGCUCACUGGACCAUAACUGACGCUGAUGCACGAAAGCUAGGGGAGCAAACAGG
rnacentral:rRNA from 1 species